CACGUAGGGGACGAGCGUUGUCCGGAUUCAUUGGGCGUAAAGCGCGCGUAGGCGGUUACUUAAGUCGGAUGUGAAAGCCCUCGGCUUAACUGAGGAAGUGCACCCGAAACUGAGUAGCUAGAGUACGAAAGAGGGUCGCGGAAUUCCCGGUGUAGAGGUGAAAUUCGUAGAUAUCGGGAGGAACACCGGUGGCGAAGGCGGCGACCUGGGUCGAGACUGACGCUGAGGCGCGAAAGCGUGGGGAGCAAACAGG
rnacentral:rRNA from 1 species